rnacentral:lncRNA from 1 species
AGAAAAUCAAAUACAUCAACUAUGAAGAGCAGCACCUGUACUUCUACAAAGUUUGGCUCCCACUCUUCAUGCCAGUAUAUCUCAAACUGCCAUCCAUGCAAGCGAUGUACCUCCAAAGAUAUUGGGUGGUUUCUUGAAAGUCCUUGGAUUGUAUAUGUUACCCAGAUGAGCCACAUAACAAUGAGAAUGAGCACAGAGGAGAACCGGGACUGGCUCACCACUCAGGUCUUGGCCACCUGUAAUACUGAAUAGUCCUUUUUCAAUGACUGAUUCACUGGGCACCUGAACUUCCAAAUCGAGCACCAGUGAGUAACAAGAAUAGUCCUUAGUAGAGCAAGUGCAGUCACUUAUAACACCCCCAA